rnacentral:rRNA from 1 species
AAUAGAUACCCAGGUAGUCCACGCCGUAAACGAUGGAUGCUAGCUGUUUGGAGGUAUCGACCCCUUCAGAAGCGAAGCUAACGCGUUAAGCAUCCCGCCUGAGUAGUACGAGCGCAAGCUUAAAACUCAAAGGAAUAGACGGGGACCCGCACAAGCGGUGGAGCGUGUUCUUUAAUUGGAUGAUAAGCCAAGAACCUUACCCAGGUUUGACAUCCUGCGAAGGACUCCGAAAGGAAUCUGUGCUUUUUUGAACGCAGUGACAGGUGUUGCAUGGCCGUCGUCAGCUCGUGUCGUGAGAUGUUGGGUUAAGUCCCGCAACGAGCGCAACCCUUAUAGUUAGUUGGAUUUUUCUAACUAGACUGCCUCGGUAACGGGGAGGAAGGAGGGGAUGAUGUCAGGUCCGUAUUACCCUUACACCUGGGGCUAGAAACGCGCUACAAUGGCCGGUACAAUGGGCAGCCAAAUCGCGAGAUGGAGCUAAUCCCACCAAAGCCGGUCUUAGUUCGGAUUGGAGGCUGAAAUUCGCCUCCAUGAAGCCGGAAUCGCUAGUAACC